GACGAACGCUGGCGGCGUGCUUAACACAUGCAAGUCGAACGGUAAGGCCCUUCGGGGUACGACGAGUGGCGAACGGGUGGAGUAACACGUGGGUGGAUCUGCCCUGCACUUCGGGAUAAGCUUGGGAAACUGGGUCUAAUACCGGAUAGGACCACGGUCUGCAUGGAUUGUGGUGGAAAAGCUUUUGCGGUGUGGGAUGGGCCCGCGGCCUAUCAGCUUGUUGGUGGGGUGAUGGCCUACCAAGGCGACGACGGUAGCCGGCCUGAGAGGGUGGUCCGGCCACGCUGGGACUGAGAUACGGCCCAGACUCCUACGGGAGGCAGCAGUGGGGAAUAUUGCACAAUGGGCGCAAGCCUGAUGCAGCGACGCCGCGU
rnacentral:rRNA from 1 species